GGCCCUACGGGGUGCAGCAGGCGAGAAAACUUUGCAAUGUGCGAAAGCACGACAAGGUUAAUCCGAGUGGUUUCUGCUAAAGGAACCUUUUGUUAGUCCUAGAAACACUAACGAAUAAGGGGUGGGCAAGUUCUGGUGUCAGCCGCCGCGGUAAAACCAGCACCUCAAGUGGUCAGGAUGAUUAUUGGGCCUAAAGCAUCCGUAGCCGGCUCUGUAAGUUUUCGGUUAAAUCUGUACGCUCAACGUACAGGCUGCCGGGAAUACUGCAGAGCUAGGGAGUGGGAGAGGUAGACGGUACUCGAUAGGAAGGGGUAAAAUCCUUUGAUCUAUUGAUGACCACCUGUGGCGAAGGCGGUCUACCAGAACACGUCCGACGGUGAGGGAUGAAAGCUGGGGGAGCAAACCGGAUUAGAUACCCGGGUAGUCCCAGCUGUAAACUAUGCAAACUCAGUGAUGCAUUGGCUUGUGGCCAAUGCAGUGCUGCAGGGAAGCCGUUAAGUUUGCCGCCUGGGAAGUACGUACGCAAGUAUGAAACUUAAAGGAAUUGGCGGGGGAGCAC
rnacentral:rRNA from 1 species